rnacentral:rRNA from 1 species
CCUACGGGAGGCAGCAGUGGGGAAUAUUGGGCAAUGGGCGCAAGCCUGACCCAGCAACGCCGCGUGAAGGAAGAAGGCUUUCGGGUUGUAAACUUCUUUUAAGAGGGAAGAGCAGAAGACGGUACCUCUUGAAUAAGCCACGGCUAACUAAGUGCCAGCAGCCGCGGUAAUACGUAGGUGGCAAGCGUUGUCCGGGUUUACUGGGUGUAAAGGGCGUGUAGCCGGGCUGAGAAGUCAGAUGUGAAAUUCCGGGGGUCAACCCCGGACCUGCAUUUGAAACUGUUGGUCUUGAGUAACGGAGAGGCAGGCGGAAUGCGUGGUGUAGCGGUGAAAUGCGUAGAUAUUAGGAGGAACACCAGUGGCGAAGGCGGCCUGCUGGACGACAACUGACGGUGAGGCGCGAAAGCGUGGGGAGCGAACAGGAUUAGAUACCCCAGUAGUC